AAAAUCAUUUUAAAAAAAAGAGUUUCUGUACCUCUGACUCACCUUUUUGUGAUGUUUUUAGGACGUGCCACAAAUGUGAACUUCCACAAUGCUAUCACAUCAUCAGCUGGACAUUUUACUGCUUCCAUUUCACAAAAGGGCACUGACACAGAGAAAUUGUUUUUCCUUCUACGCCAAGGACGUGGAUUUCAGCUGAUUGCCUGUGACAGACCAUCUCACCACCACAGAAGGGCUGGGUAGCAGAAGUUGGGUUAGCAAUGACACGGUAAAAAAAACCUCACAGUGCCUUCGUGUUUACACACUUAAGCACUACAUCCAGAAAAUGUCCCACCUGGGGAUCUGCAGGCUGCUGGUAGAGCACAUGGCAGGUUCCCUGAGCAUCCCUCCCACCGGUUCACCAGACUGAGUAGAGCUGGGCAUUAAACACAAAUCUGCUCAAACAUGUGCUUGCACUAUCUGCCUGUCUUACCGAACCACCGUUCUCUGCCAUGCAUUUUCUAACUUUUAAAACCAGUUCUUGUAAACCUUUGUAACCAACAGGUCAUAUACAAUGUUGCUCAAGUGCAAUCAUGGGCCUGUAGCCAUGAAAUUGUGCCUAUUCAUGAGCUUUUUGCCAGCACGGGAAAUGAGAAGCAUAGACUUGUCAAGCAAAGAGUUGUCUCAGUUUACUGCUUGGUUCAAAGAAAACAUGAAGUGUUUCAGCGAUUCUAAUUUCUAAAGAAUUUCUACAAUAACUCAUGGAUUAAUAUUUAUUUAUGGAUCUGUCGCUGUUUUGAUCCAUUUCUGCUGUUUUUUACCCAAGCUGUUUUGUUGUACCUGGAAGAUGAGCCAGCCAGACCACUGACUGUAAUAAGGUCUAGGAGUGCCUUUGGAAUCCAGACUUGCCAGAUGGCAAAUAUGAGCACUUUCCAUCACUUUCAGAUUUUAAUUUUUUGGGGCUAUAAUACACAUUUGAAUUUACUAAAACUAUUCACUUGUUGAUUUACGGUCAAGCCUUGUUAUUCUGCUAAUUUUCUUUGGAUUCUAAAUUUAUUUUUAUUUAGUUUAUUGUACUCACUUUAAAACAAUCAAUGUAGAUAUAGAGACUCUAAGUCUUUGAGUUCUGCUUCCUCCCAGAACUAACUUAAUAUUGUUUUGUUUCAGCCUCAUAGAAACAAUGCUGGAUGAAAACUAAUCCAAUCGUCGUUACACACAGGUCAGGAAAAUCUCAUAGGCUGUGGAAUUCCACUUUUUUCUGGGAUUAUUAGAAUUGUAUUAUGAAUGAUAUUGCACUGUGUUGAAUCAUAUAUUAUUUGUAAUGUGCUUUUGAUUGCCUUUGUAUGACUAGAUAUGUGGUUGGGCUAGUUUCAUAUAUUUUUUUGUUGUGGAGUGGAACAAUAAAAUGUGAAAGAAGC
rnacentral:lncRNA from 1 species